rnacentral:rRNA from 1 species
UACGUAGGGUGCAAGCGUUGUCCGGAAUCAUUGGGCGUAAAGGGCGCGUAGGUGGCCCGGUCAGCGUGCGGUGAAAGCUCGGGGCUCAACCCCGAGUCGGCCGUGCGAACUGCUGGGCUUGAGCACUGUAGAGGCAGGCGGAAUUCCGGGUGUAGCGGUGGAAUGCGUAGAGAUCCGGAAGAACACCGGUGGCGAAGGCGGCCUGCUGGGCAGUGGCUGACACUGAGGCGCGACAGCGUGGGGAGCAAACAGG